UGCCUCCUACGGGGGGCAGCAGUGGGGGAUAUUGGACAAUGGGGGGAACCCUGAUCCAGCGACGCCGCGUGAGUGAAGAAGUAUUUCGGUAUGUAAAGCUCUGUCAGCAGGGAAGAAAGAAAUGACGGUACCUGACCAAGAAGCCCCGGCUAACUACGUGCCAGCAGCCGCGGUAAUACGUAGGUGGCAAGCGUUGUCCGGAUUUACUGGGUGUAAAGGGCGUGCAGCCGGGCCGACAAGUCAGAUGUGAAAUCCGCGGGCUUAACCCGCGACCUGCAUUUGAAACUAUUGGUCUUGAGUACCGG
rnacentral:rRNA from 1 species